rnacentral:rRNA from 1 species
CCUACGGGUGGCAGCAGUGAGGAAUAUUGGUCAAUGGACGAGAGUCUGAACCAGCCAAGUAGCGUGAAGGAUGACUGCCCUAUGGGUUGUAAACUUCUUUUAUAAAGGAAUAAAACGCGUCACGUGUGCCUUUUUGCAUGUACUUUAUGAAUAAGGAUCGGCUAACUCCGUGCCAGCAGCCGCGGUAAUACGGAGGAUCCGAGCGUUAUCCGGAUUUAUUGGGUUUAAAGGGAGCGUAGAUGGGUUGUUAAGUCAGUUGUGAAAGUUUGCGGCUCAACCGUAAAAUUGCAAUUGAUACUGGCAGUCGUGAGUACAGUUGAGGUAGGCGGAAUUCGUGGUGUAGCGGUGAAAUGCUUAGAUAUCACGAAGAACUCCGAUUGCGAAGGCAGCUUACUAAACUGUGACUGACAUUGAUGCUCGAAAGUGUGGGUAUCAAACAGGAUUAGAUACCCGAGUAGUC